GACGAAGGAUGCAAGCGUUAUCCGGAUUCAUUGGGUUUAAAGGGUGCGUAGGCGGACUAAUAAGUCAGUGGUGAAAUCUCUCGGCUUAACCGAGAAACUGCCAUUGAUACUGUUAGUCUAGAGUAUAGAUGACGUUGGCGGAAUAUGACAUGUAGUGGUGAAAUACUUAGAUAUGUCAUAGAACACCGAUUGCGAAGGCAGCUAACGAAACUAUAACUGACGCUGAGGCACGAAAGUGCGGGGAUCAAACAGG
rnacentral:rRNA from 1 species